rnacentral:rRNA from 1 species
ACGCUCGACACCUACGGGAAGCAGCAGUGAGGAAUAUUGGUCAAUGGGCGCUAGCCUGAACCAGCCAAGUAGCGUGAAGGAUGAAGGCUCUAUGGGUCGUAAACUUCUUUUAUAUAAGAAUAAAGUGCAGUAUGUAUACUGUUUUGUAUGUAUUAUAUGAAUAAGGAUCGGCUAACUCCGUGCCAACAGCCGCGGUAAUCUGAGCGGGCUGGCAAGGC